rnacentral:rRNA from 1 species
GACGAACGCUGGCGGCAUGCCUAAUACAUGCAAGUCGAGCGGAAUGAUGAGAGCUUGCUCUCUGAUUUUAGCGGCGGACGGGUGAGUAACACGUGGGCAACCUGCCCUACAGAUGGGGAUAACUCCGGGAAACCGGGGCUAAUACCGAAUAAUCAGUUUGUCCGCAUGGACAAACUCUGAAAGACGGUUUCGGCUGUCACUGUAGGAUGGGCCCGCGGCGCAUUAGCUAGUUGGUGGGGUAAUGGCCUACCAAGGCGACGAUGCGUAGCCGACCUGAGAGGGUGAUCGGCCACACUGGGACUGAGACACGGCCCAGACUCCUACGGGAGGCUG